rnacentral:lncRNA from 1 species
UCUAAAUCUAAAUCCCAGCUAAAGUCAGCCAAACGGAGGAAACUUAUCACUGCAGUAUUCUGUCUCUUUAGCAACGACCCUAGUUCUAAUUUUUCACAUAGCUAUUGGUGACAGUGCUGGAUCAGACCCACAAGAUCAAAGCAUCUGGGAGGAUGGUGAUGUAGGAGUUGCAGACAGAUGAAUAAAAGCAGCCAGCUUACUGCCUUUAUGAGUUACUACUGUCUAGCAGCUGAGCUCUGGAAAGAAAAUUUCUGACAAGGCAGACUGGAAUUCAUGAAGUGAGGAAAAUGAGGACUAUCUAGGUGCUAUAUCAUGAGUAAUUAGAAUGGCAUGCUUGUAUUAUCUGCCUGCAAGUGAAGGAUUUUGUAGACACGGAAGAGAUUUGCAGCAUGGGAUUUCUUCAAGAUACGUUCCACACUGCAAGAGUAAGGAUGAGGAAAAAUGAGCUUGAGGGAACACAGCAUCAACCAGGAAAUACCAUCCUGAAAGAAAUAAAUGUUGAUCUUCUACAUGCUACAUAAAAGGUUGCUCUGUUGCAGUUUAAAUGCUGUCCUAUAAAGGACAGAAAUAUUUCUCACAAUAUGCUGAGUUGUGCAUGGUGUUCAAAAAUACUUCAAAUAAAGCAAACUGUUCAAGCCUGAU